rnacentral:rRNA from 1 species
UGGGGAAUAUUGGACAAUGGGGGCAACCCUGAUCCAGCAAUGCCGCGUGUGUGAAGAAGGCCUUCGGGUUGUAAAGCACUUUUGUUAGGGAGGAAGACGAGUAGUUUAAGAGAUGAUUCGUUUGACUGUACCUAAAGAAUAAGCACCGGCUAACUCUGUGCCAGCAGCCGCGGUAAUACAGAGGGUGCGAGCGUUAAUCGGAAUUACUGGGCGUAAAGGGCGCGUAGGCGGUUUAUUAAGUUGUAUGUGAAAUCCCUGGGCUUAACCUAGGAACUGCAUAUAAUACUGAUAAGCUGGAGUGCAGUAGAGGGUAGUGGAAUUUCCGGUGUAGCGGUGAAAUGCGUAGAUAUCGGAAGGAACACCAGUGGCGAAGGCGGCUACCUGGACUGACACUGACGCUGAGGCGCGAAAGCGUGGGGAGCAAACAGG